CCUACGGGAGGCAGCAGUGAGGAAUAUUGGUCAAUGGGCGCGAGCCUGAACCAGCCAAGUCGCGUGAGGGAAGACGGUCCUAUGGAUUGUAAACCUCUUUUGUCGGGGAGCAAAAGACGCCACGUGUGGCGUUCUGAGUGUACCCGAAGAAAAAGCAUCGGCUAACUCCGGACCAGCAGCCGCGGUAGUACGGAGGAUGCGAGCUUUGUCCGGAUUUAUUGGGUUUAAGGGGUGCGCAGGCGGAAGAUCAAGUCAGCGGUAAAAUUGAGAGGCUCAACCUCUUCGAGCCGUUGAAACUGGUUUUCUUGAGUGAGCGAGAGGUAUGCGGAAUGCGUGGUGUAGCGGUGAAAUGCAUAGAUAUCACGCAGAACUCCGAUUGCGAAGGCAGCAUACCGGCGCUCAACUGACGCUCAUGCACGAAAGUGUGGGUAUCGAACAGGAUUAGAUACCCCAGUAGUC
rnacentral:rRNA from 1 species